CGCGUAGGCGGACAUUUAAGUCAGGGGUGAAAUCCCGGGGCCUCAACCCCGGAACUGCCCUUGAUACUGGGUGUCUUGAGUUCGAGAGAGGUGAGUGGAAUUCCGAGUGUAGAGGUGAAAUUCGUAGAUAUUCGGAGGAACACCAGUGGCGAAGGCGGCUCACUGGCUCGAUACUGACGCUGAGGUGCGAAAGUGUGGGGAGCAAACA
rnacentral:rRNA from 1 species